UUUUUCGACCUGAACU
rnacentral:rRNA from 1 species